rnacentral:rRNA from 1 species
UACGUAGGGUGCAAGCGUUGUCCGGAAUUAUUGGGCGUAAAGAGCUUGUAGGCGGUUUGUCGCGUCUGCUGUGAAAUUUCGGGGCUCAACCCCGAACUUGCAGUGGGUACGGGCAGACUAGAGUGUGGUAGGGGAGACUGGAAUUCCUGAUGUAGCGGUGAAAUGCGCAGAUAUCAGGAGGAACACCGGUGGCGAAGGCGGCAUCCUGGACCGGCAUUGACGCUGAGGAGCGAAAGCUAGGGGAGCAAACGGG